AGGACACGGUCGUGCUGAGUGGUAACUGGCGGGUUGGGAAGGUACCAAUGGUCCCGUUGAAGAAGCAACAGCGGCCAUUAACCCAAGUGCGGUUGGCUGGUAGGAUAAGGCUGGACGAGCGUGCUCCACGCCAACGGUGGCUCAUGGUGACCAAGUCCGGCGAUACAGACGAUGAGGAGGUGGUGCCGUCGCCAGACCCAACCGUUGUGAGGACCCUGCCUCACGUGUCUUCCCUGGCUGCUACCAGUACUCCUCCAACUGUUGCUCAUAGUCCUCCAGCCACUACUAGUACUUCCAGGGCUGUUGCCAGUACUCCCCUAGCUACUGCCGUUAUUCACCCAACUGCUGCCAUUAUUCGUCCAACUGUCCUCUUGCAGUUGGCUUCUCCUCCUCCAUUUUCUGCAAGGUUCUGGGUGCGGACCUAAGUGCAUACCUCCUCUCGGUGGGUGAUUCUGACUCAAGCAUAGGAAUUGCUAGUAGGUUUUCUUUUGUUGGAAUGUUGAUUUUCAUUGUAGGGUCACGUUGGAUGCUGCUUUUGGGGAUGCCACAGCUCUGCUGCCUCUUGGUGGUGGUGCCAAGCCAUCUCCAGGCACUUCUCCUGAUGCGGCACAGAUCUCCCCGCCUUCUCUUGCGCUGGAAGAAUCCCCAGCGCGGGAUGAAGCCCAGCGCGUGCUGACUCCUCCCACCAGCCCCCAGCGUCAACAUGAGGAUGACUCUGCUACUGCACCCGAGCCGCUGGCGGGUGCCAUGGAUGUGGUGUAGGAGAUCUAUCAAGUGGUUUCUCUGCCUCAGCUGAGUCCUUGUUGCCCUGUGUGCACUGUCCGAAUGGUGGAUGAAGGGUACAUGGGUGAGAUGGAGGAGGACCCCUAGGUGGAGCAUGAGGACAACGAAUGGCUCCCUUGCCUUCUCAAUGAUGCUUCGAUCUCUCGGGUAUGUCUCUUUCCCUCAUUACCUUCUUGUUGUCUGCAUGCUUUGGUUCUGAUGGUCGGGAGGUAGUACUCCACCAACGAGGAGAUCGAGAAGCUGCGGGUGGAGAGCUCCCAAGUGAAGCUCGAGUCGUCAGCUCUCCGGCAGAAGGUUGAGACUCUUCGCGGCAGCCUCAAAGCCCAUGCGGAGGAGCAGGCAAGUGUGCAGUAGGAGUUGGAUGAGCUGUGGCGGAAGGUGCAGGACCUUGGUAGUGUGGUCGAGCAGGCUCGAGAAAAUGAGGUCAAGGCCAAGAAGGAUUUGGAAGAGUAUCAUGGGGUCAUCCACACGCAAUUUGCAGAUCUAGAGGCACACUGCAAGUGGGAGCGGGAGAGGGUGAAUAACCUUGAGGCAGUAGCUCUGCCAUUGAAGGAUAUCCUCGACCCACUUCCGGAGCAGCCAACUACCUCUGAGCCGAUCCGUAGGCCACACAACAUGCUGGAUCGCUUUCAGAUUGCCCCUAAGAGGUUUUAGUUGUACCUUCGGACGAUUAGCAUCAUGAGCACUAGUCGUGUGCUGGUGGUGCUAAAGUCAGUGCUCACGAUGUUGAAGUCUCUAUUUCCUUAGAUGCCCUUGGAGCCAUUAGCUGGCGGUGAUGCACGCGGCACUACCUCAAGCCAGAUCGAUCAACUACUACAUGAAGUGCAGGCCAAUUGCCAUUGUGUCAAUGUUUUCACAUGACAACCUAUCAAGGGAGUAUCCGAGAUAGUGUUUUGGUUUGUGGGUGUUGCCGAAAUCAAGAAGUCGAUGGGGAUGCAGGGACACGAUUUAGACAGGUUUGGGCCGCUAGAUCGCGUAAUACCCUACGUCCUAUGUGUUGUACGCUUGUAUAUCAUUGACUUGUUUUGAGGACGUCCCUGCCCACCCUUAUAUAUUGGGGGAGCAGGGUUACAGGGUAGUCUUUGGUACAAGAGCACUAGUCGGAUACGACUACAGAGUCCUACUCUAUCUUGGUAGAGUAGUUUCUUUGUAUUCUGACUAGUCCUUCAGGAGUUCCAUGUAGUCUAAGUUGCCCUGUAGCGUAGUCUUCAUGUCCUGAUAUGUCUCGAGUACACCCCCUUGAGUUGGUCCGUACAGAUCUUCUGGUGGGCCUAGGGAUGUAUGGUCGACAAGCCCCCGAGUACUUUGUAGUCAAAUGAAAUAGUUCUGAGUUCUCAGUAGACGUUGCUCGACUAGUCUUUGGUACUCGUUGAGUACUUCUGUUGUGGCUAGUCAUCGAGUACCCGAAUACUGUCAUGCGACUAGAAGGUACUGCUGCCCCAUUCUAACAUUGGUUUUGAGUAGUUUGUCUUCAAGUCUUUAUAUGGAAGUGCGAUGAAAAUCGCACUCCAUAUGGAGUAGCCCCCGAGCCUUAGGUUGAAUCAAAGAAUCAGGCUGAGGGUCAAACUGAAUUUGCUUCGUCUUUCCUUAAUCCCUAAAGAAAAAGAAAUUUUUGUCCAACGGGCGAGGUGUAUGCAGCCCCCGAGCACUUGAUCGACUAUGUCCAGGCGAUGAAGGGGUCAAUCAUGAUCAACGCGACCGUUGGACUUUAAUCUCAUGAUAUAUCUUGAGAGUAUCAGACCGUUGCGAGAUUACUAGCUGCGUUCCUAGAAUCGCGGAGCCAUUUUAGAUUCGUUGCGAUGUUAUACAACGUAAGGCCGGUAGCCUCCGAGGUUUAUGCUUCCAACCAUUUGCAUCUGUUAUUCUUUAUCUUGAAAACCCUAACGCCGCCGCUUGUGCCACCGCCACCGUCAGCCAAAGUUAGUGACCUCAAGUGUCAUAGUAGCUUUCUCCUCCUCCCUUACACGUUUCGAGGUGAUGCGUGUGAAGAAAAUGGGGAAGAAGACCGACAAGUCCAAGGGAAAAGCCGUGGAAGGAGCGAUGAAGGAUUCCAAGGGAAAGAGCCACAACUUCCUCCACCCAAAUGUGGGCCUACCGAUCAGACUGCUCUGCCAAAUCAAGCAUCCGCUUGGAAGAUGUCCACCAUGAAGAAGGAAGCAAUCCAAGAGUUGGUGGAUGCAAAAUUGUUGCAGGAGGAGGCCAUCGUGAAUUGGAGGUGCGCCUAUGCCAAUGCCUGGAAUUUUGAGGCCCAUCCAAAAGAGACAGUGAUUUGGGCUCAUUUUGUGGAGAGAGGACUUGUUGUUCCUACGUCAAAGUUCUUCAGAGGUAUCCUCAACUUUUACAACAUUUAGCUUGUUCAUCUGAGUCCCAAUGGGAUAUUGCACAUUGCAAUCUUUGUGCAUCUCUGUGAAGCAUAUUUGGGGAUACAACUCCAUUUUCAAUUGUUUCGCAAGCUUUUCCGCUGCAAGCCCCAGCCUAGUCAAGAUAGGAUGGCAGUACUCGAAGGCGCGGGAUUUCAGCUAAGGGACUCUGAUGAGUAUUUGGAGUAUGAGACUCCACCGUCCCAUGGCACCUGGAAGGAGAUGUGGUUUUACAUUGAGAACCAUGGGCCUCCAAUGCUAGUGAUCACCGGGUACCACCCGAAGUACUCGAGCAAGUGGCUUGAAGAGCCUAGCAUUGAAGAUAGUCAUCAGAUAGCUAAGUUAUUGCAAAGGAUCGUAGCGUCGAAGAAAGCAGGGCUGACUGGGAUUAACGUGGCCGCCAGCUUCUUGAAGAGAAGAUAGCAACCAUUACAGCUGCGCCUGACUUGGGGCUAUGAGUACUCAAGCUUUGAUGAUCCAUCAUGGAUGUCGGUUGAGGAUAUAUCUGAUGAUGCAGUUGAAGACUUGUUUUGCAAAUGUUUCAAGAAUUUCCAAGGAGUUCCCGAAGUCGAUGAAUCCAUCCAGCAAUUUGACAAGUGGUAUAAACCCAGAGAGUCUUGAGUUCUCAAAGGAUAUAAAUUUGGAACCGACACCUCGAAGCGUCCAGCAGGAGAUGUUGGUGAUGAAGAGGUCCAAGCUCCAAUGCCGAAGAGAAGACGGACCAUGGUGCAUAAGCAAUUAGUCAGCAAGCACUCGGAGAUGUUCAAAGCUCCACCACCAGUUGUUGAUGAUGUGGAUGAAGACAUUGAGGAUGCUGCGGAUGCAACGUAUAAAGCUAUCGAGACUACUUCCAAUGAUGUAAUCACGAUAGCUAAAGACGCGGCUGCUGAUGUGGUUUCUUUGGAUACAUCUGCUAAAGAUGCAGGCAUGCGCCCAAAAUGGCUACCACUCAAGUAGCUGUUGUUCUUGAAGUUGCAAGUGGUGGAGCGGGCGACUCAUCAGAGACUACCAUAAGUGGAAUUGUGAAAAUGUUCGAAGCAGUUUGUGAUGCCAUUUUGCUUGAAGUCCCUGCUAGCAGUGAGUACGCGAGUACUGGUAGUAGUUGCACGUACAUUGUCUCUAAGUUGGUUCUUUCAGGUCUUGGCAAAAACACCGAGGAGUUGCCACAUGUACCGAUUAGUAAGCCAGAUGCGAGUGUACAGCCAGUCCCCAUGGUGAAGAGAAGUCAUCGAGUUCCUCCCCAAUCCUCCAAAACUUCUAAGGAUAUUGUUCUCGAAGAAGUGAGCACCGAACAGGUUGAAAAUUCAUCGGGCAUGGACUCUGUUGCGGCACCCGUUGUUGAUUAAACAAGUGAGGACCCAGCGCAAACUAGUGACACAGGUGCAGUGACUCUCGCAGCCACCAUACUGCGGAAUGUAAUUUGUUCACUUGAGGAUUCGGUGCUACCAGCCCCCGAGGUUGUUAAUGACAAUCCUCCACCUGCAAUCGAGAUUGCAGCAACUACAACAGUGGCGAGUAUCAAAGAGGAGGUUGUAGUAGUCUCACAAGGUGUCAAGGCAUCUAGGAAGGAGGUUGUACCAACUGUUGCAUUUGAGCAAGCAGCGAACAGGAAUGUUUCAGAGGCUGGAGCUUCUAUUUCUUAACAGCUGGUCCUUACGCCAAGUGUGAGGGCUGGUGUGGCGGUCGAGGCUCCAGGGUUUGUUGGAGGUAUGCCCUAGAGGAAAUCAUAGAGAUGAUGAUAUCUGAUUGUAUCCAUGAUUUGUAUAUUGCGUUCAUUGAAUAUCCAUUAAAGGCUACUU